rnacentral:rRNA from 1 species
GUAGGGUGCAGGCGUUAAUCGGAAUUACUGGGCGUAAAGCGUGCGCAGGCGGUCUGCUAAGACAGGUGUGAAAUCCCCGGGCUUAACCUAGGAACUGCGCUUGUUACUGGCAGGCUUGAGUGUGGCAGAGGGGGGUGGAAUUCCACGUGUAGCAGUGAAAUGCGUAGAGAUGUGGAGGAACACCGAUGGCGAAGGCAGCCCCCUGGGCUAACACUGACGCUCAUGCACGAAAGCGUGGGGAGCAAACAGGAUUAGAUACCCUGGUAGUCCACGCCCUAAACUAUGUCAACUGGUUGUCGGGGAAGCAAUUCCUUGGUAACGAAGCUAACGCGUGAAGUUGACCGCCUGGGGAGUACGGCCGCAAGGUUG